AUUUGGUUUUGAUUGUACCAGCAAUGGAGUUGGCAUUUCUCAAACUGAGUGUUCAACUCACCAACCUUCGGCCAACUCUGCUUCUAGUUUACCAAACACUGGAGAAGCAAGCCCCUACAAAUAUUUUUUUGGGUCAAAAGCCAUAUAUCAAUACACUUAGAUAUAAUAACAGAUUUAAUACUUCCCGUAGCCAACAAAACCGUAAAUAAGACACAUCCAAAGAUUUUCUGAAGUUUGACAAACAUAACAUACUGAUUUCUCAGGCUGUUGCUGGCAGUACCAGCAUACCUAUAGUCUAUAGAAGUCACAAUCCAUGACAUUAGUCUAAAUCCAAGUCCCAAAGGCAUUUAUAACUUAAGUAAAAGCACGUGACAGUAGCAUAGCUAAGCAGCAGCAGCAGCAGAUCGAAUGUAAUUUGUACAACAUGUAUCAAAAAAAUGAGAUGCCCGGAAGCACCUACUAACGGUUAACUACAUCUAAUAAGAUGGAAAGAAACACAAAAAAAUAGUCUCUCACUUCUAUAGAUGCUUAUGCAUGACACUAAUAAAUCCUAUAAUAUCAUGGUAGGAACAUUAGCACCACCAGGCAAGUAGAAUCAGUCUGUUUAGAUAUACAAGAGCAGUGAAAGGAGUGAUAGUGAAAGGAGUGAUUGCAGCUUGUAGUGAUAAAAAUAUAAAACAUAUUUUUAUAUAUAUCAAAUGCAUGAAAUGAUCUCAAGAGAGAUAUUCAAUCAUCAAGAUAGCAUUCACUUCCACAAUCUAAGCAUUUUGCAUAAAAAUUCAUCAUUAUAAAAAUAUAAUAGAAAACUAAAUUUACCCACUCUUCUAUCAUUUUUCGUGUAGGAACAACAAUAAAUAUAGCAGGACAAUAAUAUCGGUACAGAGAUCUAUUACAAUAUUCCUAUGUAUUACUGAAAUUUCUGGUAAUUCCCAUAAAGACUCGAGAGAGAUUUGAGUGACAACAUGAAGAAAUCAGGUGAAAUAAAAAGGAAAACCACAUCUCAGCAAGAGAAAAAUAGCACAAGUUCAUAAGUUACUGAAGCAAUUAAAAUCAAACUAAUCAUAAACGAAUUAAAAUUUCUAAUUUUCUAAAGCAGAUUCAACCAAACAAAAAUGGAAAAAGAGAAAUUUAACAUCGCUCUCUAAUCAAAAAAUGAAGGUGAUACCUUUCUGAGAGUGUAAGCGAAGACGGAGCCGGCGACUCCGGCACCCACAAUGAUUAUGUCAGCGUUUCUCUUUUGCCCUCGCGUCGCCGCCGUGCCGGUGGGUUCGGACAAUAGGGAAGGAGAUAGGACGGAGGAGAGUCGCGCCCGCGUGGAGUCGCCCCAUCUGGAUUGUGCGAAUUAUUGAAUUACCCCCAAAAACUGUGUUAUUGAUAUUAACAUGGAUUGGGGUGAGAAAGGUUGCUAGAAUCAAGCAAUGGAAACUAUGAUUGAGGAAACUGAUUUAAUUAUUGCUAUAGGAUGAGAAAUUAAGGCAUUUUGAUUUAGUGUGUAUUGAUUCCUAUCAAACCCUACGUGGAUUAGAGAAUGGAGAAGAGAUAUUUGAGAGAAUUAAGAGAGAAGAGAAUAAAGGAUUGAGAGGAAGCCACGUAGGAGAGAGAAUGAAGGAGAUCUCUUGAAUAUGUAAUCGUUUAUAUAAUUGAUAGAU
rnacentral:lncRNA from 1 species